UAGUGGCGAACGGGUGAGUAACACGUGGGCAAUCUGCCCUUCACUCUGGGACAAGCCCUGGAAACGGGGUCUAAUACCGGAUAACACUUCCACUCUCCUGGGUGGAGGUUAAAAGCUCCGGCGGUGAAGGAUGAGCCCGCGGCCUAUCAGCUUGUUGGUGAGGUAACGGCUCACCAAGGCGACGACGGGUAGCCGGCCUGAGAGGGCGACCGGCCACACUGGGACUGAGACACGGCCCAGACUCCUACGGGAGGCAGCAGUGGGGAAUAUUGCACAAUGGGCGAAAGCCUGAUGCAGCGACGCCGCGUGAGGGAUGACGGCCUUCGGGUUGUAAACCUCUUUCAGCAGGGAAGAAGCGAAAGUGACGGUACCUGCAGAAGAAGCGCCGGCUAACUACGUGCCAGCAGCCGCGGUAAUACGUAGGGCGCAAGCGUUGUCCGGAAUUAUUGGGCGUAAAGAGCUCGUAGGCGGUCUGUCACGUCGGAUGUGAAAGCCCGGGGCUUAACCCCGGGUCUGCAUUCGAUACGGGCAGACUAGAGUGUGGUAGGGGAGAUCGGAAUUCCU
rnacentral:rRNA from 1 species